AGCGAACGCUGGCGGCAGGCCUAACACAUGCCAGUCGAACGGAUCCUUCGGGAUUAGUGGCGGACGGGUGAGUAACACGUGGGAACGUGCCCUUUGGUUCGGAACAACUCAGGGAAACUUGAGCUAAUACCGGAUGUGCCCUUCGGGGGAAAGAUUUAUCGCCAUUGGAGCGGCCCGCGCCUGAUUAGCUAGUUGGUGAGGUAACGCCCCACCAAGGCGACGAUCAGUAGCUGGUCUGAGAGGAUGAUCAGCCACACUGGGACUGAGACACGGCCCAGACUCCUACGGGAGGCAGCAGUGGGGAAUCUUGCGCAAUGGGCGAAAGCCUGACGCAGCCAUGCCGCGUGAAUGAUGAAGGUCUUAGGAUUGUAAAAUUCUUUCAGCGGGGACGAUAAUGACGGUACCCGCAGAAGAAGCUCCGGCUAACUUCGUG
rnacentral:rRNA from 1 species